GUUUGAUCCUGGCUCAGAACGAACGCUGGCGGCACGCCUAACACAUGCAAGUCGAGCGCACCUUCGGGUGAGCGGCGGACGGGUUAGUAACGCGUGGGAACAUACCCUUCUCUAAGGAAUAGCCACUGGAAACGGUGAGUAAUACCUUAUACGCCCUUCGGGGGAAAGAUUUAUCGGAGAUGGAUUGGCCCGCGUUAGAUUAGAUAGUUGGUGGGGUAAUGGCCUACCAAGUCUACGAUCUAUAGCUGGUUUUAGAGGAUGAUCAGCAACACUGGGACUGAGACACGGCCCAGACUCCUACGGGAGGCAGCAGUGGGGAAUCUUAGACAAUGGGCGCAAGCCUGAUCUAGCGAUGCCGCGUGUGUGAUGAAGGUCUUAGGAUCGUAAAGCACUUUCACCAGGGAUGAUAAUGACAGUACCUGGAAAAGAAACCCCGGCUAACUCCGUGCCAGCAGCCGCGGUAAUAAGG
rnacentral:rRNA from 1 species